rnacentral:lncRNA from 1 species
GAUUUCCUCUCAUCAUUCAAAACUGAUUACCAAAUCAGUUUUGAAUUAUUCUAUCCCAUUUUCACCCUAAUCUUAUCCUUAAAAUUAGGAGCUAUGGUUAGGGAUAAAAAAUUAAUCCACUCCCUCUAGAAACUAGAUAACUGAUAACCCCCUUUGUGAGUUCAAUGGUGCCUUUACUUCCACUUUGCAAGUGCUUGCAUGUAGCUUAUUAGAAAGAGAGGAAACCCAGCUUCACCAAAACCUAUAUAAUGCGCCCAUACCUGCAUUUUUGUGUACCUUUGUUUUACUCUUAUCUAGUUCCUUCUUCUUUUCUUAAUAGAUCUAUUUUCACUAUUAAUUUUUCUUAUUCGCUAACGAAUUUUCUUGAUCUAUUUCCCUCCAUUUUGCAGUUUGACAUACUCAGGAUCGCCAAUUCCAUGGUAGAGGAAUCGUCGAUUUUCGUCCAGGAUAUUUCAACUUAUGGACAGCAUACACGAGAAUACAGCUUAUAUAUUCAUAGCUUAUUUUUCCUAUUGUUUAGAUUCAUUGUACAAUUUAGGCAAUCUUUUAGUUUCUGAACCAAACAUAAAGAUACAUAUGUAAAAAGUUGAAGGUUAAGUUUGAUUUUUUUAAGAAAUUGUUCUUCUUCACUAGAUUUGGGUUGUAUUGGUCUGUUUAAUUUUCUAGCGAAACAAUUGCUUGUCUCGUUGUAGUUUUAGCUUUGAAACAGAGAGUUGUGGAUUAGCCAUAGUUUGCUUUGUAGCGUGACCUGUUGCUUGUUUUUUGCUUGAAUGUGCUAUAGACAGAUGGGGCCCCAAUUUCAUUUGUACAAUAUAAACCUAUGUGUGAGCGAAACGAUAAAGUUGGUUGUUCAGGC